rnacentral:rRNA from 1 species
CUACCGGGGUAUCUAAUCCUGUUUGCUCCCCACGCUUUCGUGCCUCAGCGUCAGUUAAAGACCAGUAAGCUGCCUACGCUAUUGGUAUUCCUUAUGAUAUCUAAGCAUUUCACUACUACACCAUAAAUUCUGCCUACCUCUUCUUAACUCAAGCCUAAUAGUAUCAAUUGCAGUUCUAGCGUUAAGCACUAGGAUUUCACAACUGACUUAAUAAGCCGCCUACGCACCCUUUAAACCCAAUAAAACCGGAUAACGCUUGCACCUUCCGUAUUACCGCGGCUGCUGGCAC